AACGAACGCUGGCGGCAGGCUUAACACAUGCAAGUCGAGCGCCCCGCAAGGGGAGCGGCAGACGGGUGAGUAACGCGUGGGAACGUACCCUUUGCUACGGAAUAGCUCCGGGAAACUGGAAUUAAUACCGUAUGUGCCCUACGGGGGAAAGAUUUAUCGGCAAAGGAUCGGCCCGCGUUGGAUUAGCUAGUUGGUGGGGUAAUGGCCUACCAAGGCGACGAUCCAUAGCUGGUCUGAGAGGAUGAUCAGCCACAUUGGGACUGAGACACGGCCCAAACUCCUACAGGAGGCAGCAGUGGGGAGUAUUGGACAAUGGGCGCAAGCCUGAUCCAGCCAUGCCGCGUGAGUGAUGAAGGCCUUAGGGUUGUAAAGCUCUUUCACCGGAGAAGAUAAUGACGGUAUCCGGAGAAGAAGCCCCAGCUAACUUCGUGCCAGCAGCCGCCGUAAUAC
rnacentral:rRNA from 1 species